UGGUGGAGUGAUUUGUCUGGUUAAUUCCGUUAACGAACGAGACCUCGACCUGCUAAAUAGUUCGAUCAAUUCAAUCGGAUUGAUACGUUUGACUUCUUAGAGGGACUAUCGGUGGUUCAGCCGAUGGAAGUUCGAGGCAAUAACA
rnacentral:rRNA from 1 species